AUUGAACGCUGGCGGCAUGCCUAACACAUGCAAGUCGAACGGCAGCGCGGGGGCAACCCUGGCGGCGAGUGGCGGACGGGUGAGGAAUGCAUCGGAAUCUGCCUGGUUGUGGGGGAUAACGUAGGGAAACUUACGCUAAUACCGCAUACGACCUACGGGUGAAAGUGGGGGACCGCAAGGCCUCACGCGAUCAGAGGAGCCGAUGUCGGAUUAGCUAGUUGGCGGGGUAAAGGCCCACCAAGGCGACGAUCCGUAGCUGGUCUGAGAGGAUGAUCAGCCACACUGGAACUGAGACACGGUCCAGACUCCUACGGGAGGCAGCAGUGGGGAAUAUUGGACAAUGGGCGCAAGCCUGAUCCAGCCAUGCCGCGUGCAGGAUGAAGGCCUUCGGGUUGUAAACUGCUUUUGUUACGGAACGAAAAGACUCUCUCUAAUACAGGGGUGAAUGACGGUACCGUAAGAAUAAGCACCGGCUAACUACGUGCCAGCAGACCG
rnacentral:rRNA from 1 species